rnacentral:rRNA from 1 species
UACGUAGGCAGCAAGCGUUGUUCGGAGUUACUGGGCGUAAAGAGUGCGUAGGUGGUGCCCUAAGUCUGUUGUGAAAUCUCCCGGCUUAACUGGGAGGGUGCGGUGGAAACUGGGGUGCUUGAGUGUGGGAGAGGUAAGCGGAAUUCCUGGUGUAGCGGUGAAAUGCGUAGAUAUCAGGAGGAACACCGGUGGUGUAGACGGCUUACUGGACCACGACUGACGCUGAGACACGAAAGCGUGGGUAGCAAACAGG